rnacentral:rRNA from 1 species
UGGAAGUCGAAGAUCCCAUUAGAAGUUAAAAUCUUUAUAUGGUAUCUUCGUAGGGGAGUCGUGCCAACCAAAGACAACCUCGCACGACGCAACUGGCAAGGGAGUAAGAAGUGUUGUUUUUGUACUCAUGACGAGACAACCAAACACUUGUUUUUCCAAUGCAAGUUUGCAUGUUCUACAUGGCCAGUUAUCCAAAUAGCGUCAAAUUCGUACCGCCCACAAGUGUUGCCAAUAUUUUUGAUCAUUGGUUGA